rnacentral:rRNA from 1 species
GAUGAACGCUGGCGGCGUGCCUAAUACAUGCAAGUCGAGCGAACAGACGAGGAGCUUGCUCCUCUGACGUUAGCGGCGGACGGGUGAGUAACACGUGGAUAACCUACCUAUAAGACUGGGAUAACUUCGGCAAACCGGAGCUAAUACCGGAUAAUAUAUUGAACCGCAUGGUUCAAUAGUUAAAGACGCUUUUGCUGUCACUUAUAGAUGGAUCCGCGCCGCAUUAGCUAGUUGGUAAGGUAACGGCUUACCAAGGCAACGAUGCGUAGCCGACCUGAGAGGGUGAUCGGCCACACUGGAAGUGAGACACGGUACAGACUCCUACGGGAGGCAGCAGUAGGGAAUCUUACGCAAUGGGCGAAAGCCUGACAGAGCAACGCCGCGUGAGUGAUGAAGGUCUUCGGAUCGUAAAACUCUGUUAUUAGGGAAGAACAAAUGUGUAAGUAACUAUGCACGUCUUGACGGUACCUAAUCAGAAAGCCACGGCUAACUACGUG